rnacentral:tRNA from 1 species
AAGGCUUUAUCUUAAUAAAAGAGUUUGAGUUGCAUUCAUGAGAUGUGGGUUAGUGUCCCACAAGUCUUU